CCUACGGGUGGCAGCAGUGGGGAAUAUUGCACAAUGGGGGAAACCCUGAUGCAGCGACGCAGCGUGAGUGAAGAAGUAUCUCGGUACGUAAAGCUCUAUCAGCAGGGAAGAAAAUGACGGUACCUGACUAAGAAGCCCCGGCUAACUACGUGCCAGCAGCCGCGGGAAUACGUAGGGGGCAAGCGUUCUCCGGAUUUACUGGGUGGAAAGGGAGCGUAGAAGGCAGCACAACUAUGGAGUGAAAUUCCGGGGCUUAACCCCGGAACUGUUUUGGAAACUGUGCGGCUGGAGUGCAGGAGGGGUAAGCGGAAUGCCUAGUGUAGCGGUGAAAUGCGUGGAUAUUAGGAGGAACACCGGUGGCGAAGGCGGCUUACUGGACUGUAACUGACGUUGAGGUUCGAAAGCGUGGGGAGCAAACAGGAUUAGAUACCCGAGUAGUC
rnacentral:rRNA from 1 species